AGACCCGAAACCCGGUGAUCUAGCCAUGGGCAGGUUGAAGGUUGGGUAACACUAACUGGAGGACCGAACCGACUAAUGUUGAAAAAUUAGCGGAUGACCUGUGGCUGGGGGUGAAAGGCCAAUCAAACCGGGAGAUAGCUGGUUCUCCCCGAAAGCUAUUUAGGUAGCGCCUCGUGAAUUCAUCUCCGGGGGUAGAGCACUGUUUCGGCUAGGGGGCCAUCCCGGCUUACCAACCCGAUGCAAACUGCGAAUACCGGAGAAUGUUAUCACGGGAGACACACGGCGGGUGCUAACGUCCGUCGUGAAGAGGGAAACAACCCAGACCGCCAGCUAAGGUCCCAAAGUCAUGGUUAAGUGGGAAACGAUGUGGGAAGGCCCAGACAGCCAGGAUGUUGGCUUAGAAGCAGCCAUCAUUUAAAGAAAGCGUAAUAGCUCACUGGUCGAGUCGGCCUGCGCGGAAGAUGUAACGGGGCUAAACCAUGCACCGAAGCUGCGGCAGCGACACUGUGUGUUGUUGGGUAGGGGAGCGUUCUGUAAGCCUGUGAAGGUGUGUCGU
rnacentral:rRNA from 3 species